rnacentral:sRNA from 1 species
CAGACUGACAGAGACUAAAGUCCCUUAUGCAUACACAGAGUGGGCACAAAUUGAGCAGCAGAAGGGCAAGCUUCUCCCACAUUGACCUGCAAAUCUGCCUUGACUCUGCUCUCAACAGACUAUCUCUGAUAUUGGAAGAGGAAUGCAGGCUUCAUGAUAAAAUCACUCCUUGUCCUCU